rnacentral:rRNA from 1 species
AUUGAACGCUGGCGGCAUGCCUUACACAUGCAAGUCGAACGGCAGCACGGGAGCAAUCCUGGUGGCGAGUGGCGAACGGGUGAGUAAUAUAUCGGAACGUGCCCAGUAGUGGGGGAUAGCCGGCGAAGCCGGAUUAAUACCGCAUACGACCUGUGGGUGGAAAGCGGGGGAGUCGCAAGACCUCGCGCUAUUGGAGCGGCCGAUAUCAGAUUAGCUAGUUGGUGGGGUAAAGGCCUACCAAGGCGACGAUCUGUAGCUGGUCUGAGAGGACGACCAGCCACACUGGGACUGAGACACGGCCCAGACUCCUACGGGAGGCAGCAGUGGGAAUUUUGGACAAUGGGCGCAAGCCUGAUCCAGCCAUGCCGCGUGUGGGAAGAAGGCCUUCGGGUUGUAACC